UACGUAGGGGCGAGCGUUAUCCGGAAUUAUUGGGCGUAAAGAGUACGUAGGCGGUUACCUAAGCAUGGGGUUUAAGGCAGUGGCUUAACCACUGUUCGCCCCAUGAACUGGGCUACUUGAGUGCAGGAGGGGAAAGCGGAAUUCCUAGUGUAGCGGUGAAAUGCGUAGAUAUUAGGAGGAACACCAGUGGCGAAGGCGGCUUUCUGGACUGUAACUGACGCUGAGGUACGAAAGUGUGGGGAGCAAACAGGAUUAGAUACCCUGGUAGUCCCUGAGCGGGCU
rnacentral:rRNA from 1 species